rnacentral:rRNA from 1 species
UACGUAGGGGGCAAGCGUUAAUCGGAAUUACUGGGCGUAAAGCGUGCGCAGGCGGUUUUGUAAGUCUGAGGUGAAAGCCCCUGGCUCAACCUGGGAAUUGCGUUGGAGACUGCAAGGCUUGAAUCUGGAAGAGGGGGGUAGAAUUCCACGUGUAGCAGUGAAAUGCGUAGAGAUGUGGAGGAACACCGAUGGCGAAGGCAGCUCACUGGGUCAAGACUGACGCUCAUGCACGAAAGCGUGGGGAGCAAACAGG